GAUGAACGCUGGCGGCGUGCCUAAUACAUGCAAGUCGAGCGAACGGACGAGAAGCUUGCUUCUCUGAUGUUAGCGGCGGACGGGUGAGUAACACGUGGAUAACCUACCUAUAAGACUGGGAUAACUUCGGGAAACCGGAGCUAAUACCGGAUAAUAUUUUGAACCGCAUGGUUCAAAAGUGAAAGACGGUCUUGCUGUCACUUAUAGAUGGAUCCGCGCUGCAUUAGCUAGUUGGUAAGGUAACGGCUUACCAAGGCAACGAUGCAUAGCCGACUUGAGAGGGUGAUCGGCCACACUGGAACUGAGACACGGUCCAGACUCCUACGGGAGGCAGCAGUAGGGAAUCUUCCGCAAUGGGCGAAAGCCUGACGGAGCAACGCCGCGUGAGUGAUGAAGGUCUUCGGAUCGUAAAACUCUGUUAUUAGGGAAGAACAUAUGUGUAAGUAACUGUGCACAUCUUGACGGUACCUAAUCAGAAAGCCACGGCUAACUACGUGCCAGCAGCCGCGGUAAUACGUAGGUGGCAAGCGUUAUCCGGAAAUAUUGGGCGUAAAGCGCGCGUANGCGGUUUUUUAGUCUGAUGUGAAAGCCCACGGCUCAACCGUGGAGGGUCAUUGGAAACUGGAAAACUUGAGUGCAGAAGAGGAAAGUGGAAUUCCAUGUGUAGCGGUGAAAUGCGCAGAGAUAUGGAGGAACACCAGUGGCGAAGGCGACUUUCUGGUCUGUAACUGACGCUGAUGUGCGAAAGCGUGGGGAUCAAACAGGAUUAGAUACCCUGGUAGUCCACGCCGUAAACGAUGAGUGCUAAGUGUUAGGGGGUUUCCGCCCCUUAGUGCUGCAGCUAACGCAUUAAGCACUCCGCCUGGGGAGUACGACCGCAAGGUUGAAACUCAAAGGAAUUGGCGGGGACCCGCACAAGCGGUGGAGCAUGUGGUUUAAUUCGAAGCAACGCGAAGAACCUUACCAAAUCUUGACAUCCUUUGACAACUCUAGAGAUAGAGCCUUCCCCUUCGGGGGACAAAGUGACAGGUGGUGCAUGGUUGUCGUCAGCUCGUGUCGUGAGAUGUUGGGUUAAGUCCCGCAACGAGCGCAACCCUUAAGCUUAGUUGCCAUCAUUAAGUUGGGCACUCUAAGUUGACUGCCGGUGACAAACCGGAGGAAGGUGGGGAUGACGUCAAAUCAUCAUGCCCCUUAUGAUUUGGGCUACACACGUGCUACAAUGGACAAUACAAAGGGCAGCGAAACCGCGAGGUCAAGCAAAUCCCAUAAAGUUGUUCUCAGUUCGGAUUGUAGUCUGCAACUCGACUACAUGAAGCUGGAAUCGCUAGUAAUCGUAGAUCAGCAUGCUGCGGUGAAUACGUUCCCGGGUCU
rnacentral:rRNA from 1 species